GCUCAGCCUAAAUCAUGAUCUGGACUUGCAGACUAUUAGUACAUGGUCUUCCGCAAUCAGAACACAUUCAGAGAGGAUCAGCAUGAAAAUAUAAUGGCGGAAACCAGAUUCCUACUUGCCAGUCUAAUUACACAAUAGUUUACCACUAUGUCAAAUUUCAGCAAUCCUGUCCAAUAUACAUUUGAAUUAUGAGAUGGUCUAUUAAUUGAAACCCACCCUGUCUUCCGGCCAUGCGAGGACAAAGCCCUUCGGACUUAAUAACCUCAAUGUCUAUCUGCACAGUGGGAGAUUCUUGUUCGGGUCAAGUAAGGUGAACAUUGUUAGUCUUAAAAGCACAUUUAAAAAAUGACACGGUUGGCCCUUCUGUGAUUUGUGGUGCUCCAGUUAUUAAGAAG